rnacentral:lncRNA from 1 species
CAAAAUCUCAGAGAAGAGUUGUGUGGAGUUCACAUAAGCAAAAUAAACUUUGCACCCCAAGGGCAGGAAGAAUAUUCAUCUGAGGCUUGGAGAUGGAGUGUUCUUUCUUUUGUUCUCCCACAGCUGGAGAAACAAGAGCAAUGCUUUGAGAAAUUACAGAGCAGGUGCUCUCCCAGGGACACAUUGACCAGUGGAGAGAAGAUAGAAUCUCCAGAGAAUGUACCUGGCCAUUCAGACUUGCUCUCCUCACACCCAUGGAGGACUGGGACCAUUUCAAAAGAAUGUGUAGUAUGCUCCUGUGCUGGGGCAGUGAAAGGAUCCUGCUAGGGCACCCUACUCUAGAGCUACAGACAAGACUGCAUUGAACCCAGUGUGGAACCCAUUUCCUCCACCAAGAAGUCCC